rnacentral:rRNA from 1 species
UACGUAGGGAGCAAGCGUUGUCCGGAAUCAUUGGGCGUAAAGCGCGCGUAGGUGGCCUCAUAAGUCCGCUGUGAAAGUCAAAGGCUCAACCUUUGAAAGCCGGUGGAUACUGUGAGGCUAGAGUACGGAAGAGGCGAGUGGAAUUCCUGGUGUAGCGGUGGAAUGCGCAGAUAUCAGGAAGAACACCAACGGCGAAGGCAGCUCGCUGGGACGGUACUGACGCUGAGACGCGAAAGCGUGGGGAGCGAACAGG